GGGGCACAUCUUCAGUGAGUUCAGCCGCACCGCGGGAAGAAGGGCAGCCGGAGACCUUUCUGCCCAGGAAGCCCGGGAAGAAGGAGCUCUCCAAGAGCUGUGUAUGGACAUCCUGGGGUCACUGGAUGUCUCUGUGAGCGGGAUGACCAAACUCGUGUGGCCACGGCUGCUGCUGUACGUGGUGCCAGCCCAGUACACCGGCAUGCUGAUCCCGGUCUCCCGCUGCGUCCAAGCGCUGGCUGAGAGAGGGGACCUGAUGGUGCGGGAGGUA